UACCAGCACCCCGAGUGGUCGGCAGGAUUAUUGGGCCUAAAGCGUCCGUAGCCGGUCCUGCAAGUCUUCCGUUAAAUCCAGCUGCUCAACAGAUGGGCUGCGGGGGAUACUACAGGGCUAGGAGGCGGGAGAGGCAAGCGGUACUUUAUGGGUAGGGGUAAAAUCCGUUGAUCCAUAGAAGACCACCAGUGGCGAAGGCGGCUUGCCAGAACGCGCUCGACGGUGAGGGAUGAAAGCUGGGGGAGCAAACCGG
rnacentral:rRNA from 1 species